rnacentral:rRNA from 1 species
UGGAACUGAGACACGGUCCAGACUCCUACGGGAGGCAGCAGUGCUGAAUUAUUCGCCAAUGCGCGAAAGCGUGACGGUGCGACGCCGCGUUGCGGGACGAAGGCUUUCGAGUCGUAAACCGCUGUCCAGGGUCUAGGAAACCGCAGUCGUUAAUAGCGGCUGUGCUGACCAGGCCCAAAGGAAGCACAGGCUAAUCUCGUGCCAGCAGCCGCGGUAAUACGAGAUGUGCAAGCGUUGUUCGGAAUCACUGGGCAUAAAGGGUGCGCAGGCGGCUUAGUAAGUCAGGGGUGAAAUCCCUCGGCUCAACCGGGGAAUUGCUUUUGAUACUUGCUAAAGCUUGAGAGCGAAAGGGGCAAGUGGAAUUCCAGGUGUACCGGUGGAAUGCGUAGAUAUCUGGGAGAACGCCGAUGGCGAAGGCAGCUUGCUGGGUCGCUUCUGACGCUCAGGCACGAAAGCUAGGGGAGCAAACAGGAUUAGAUACCCUGGUAGUCCUAGCUGUAAACGUUGGGUACUAGGUUCCGGGAUUUCUGAUGAUUUCGGGGCCGCAGUUAAUGCAUUAAGUACCCCGCCUGGGGAGUAUGGUCGCAAGGCUAAAACUCAAAGGAAUUGACGGGGGCUCACACAAGCGGUGGAGCAUGUUGUUCAAUUCGAAGCAACGCGAAGAACCUUACCUGGCCUUGACAUGCUAGAAGUACGAACCUGAAAGGGGGAGGACCGGUAUCCAGUCCGGAACUAGCACAGGUGCUGCAUGGCUGUCGUCAGCUCGUGUCGUGAGACGUUGGGUUAAGUCCCGUAACGAGCGAAACCCUUGUCGUCUGUUGCUACCAGGUAAUGCUGGGCACUCUGGCGAGACUGCCGGUGUUAAACCGGAGGAAGGUGGGGACGACGUCAAGUCAUCAUGGUCCUUACGGCCAGGGCUACAAACGUGCUACAAUGGCAGGUACAGAGAGAAGCGAUACCGCGAGGUGGAGCAAAUCUUCAAAACCUGCCCCAGUUCGGAUUGGAGGCUGCAAUUCGCCUCC